GGGUUGUGAGGUUAAGCGACUAAGCGUACACGGUGGAUGCCCUGGCAGUCAGAGGCGAUGAAGGACGUGCUAAUCUGCGAAAAGCGUCGGUAAGGUGAUAUGAACCGUUAUAACCGGCGAUGUCCGAAUGGGGAAACCCAGUGCAAUUCGUUGCACUAUCGUUAACUGAAUACAUAGGUUAACGAGGCGAACCGGGGGAACUGAAACAUCUAAGUACCCCGAGGAAAAGAAAUCAACCGAGAUUCCCCCAGUAGCGGCGAGCGAACGGGGAGCAGCCCAGAGUCUGAAUCAGCUUGUGUGUUAGUGGAACGGUCUGGAAAGUCCGACGGUACAGGGUGAUAGUCCCGUACACCAAAAUGCACAGGCUGUGAACUCGAAGAGUAGGGCGGGACACGUGGUAUCCUGUCUGAAUAUGGGGGGACCAUCCUCCAAGGCUAAAUACUCCUGACUGACCGAUAGUGAACCAGUACCGUGAGGGAAAGGCGAAAAGAACCCCGGCGAGGGGAGUGAAAAAGAACCUGAAACCGUGUACGUACAAGCAGUGGGAGCACCUUCGGGUGUGACUGCGUACCUUUUGUAUAAUGGGUCAGCGACUUAUAUUCUGUAGCAAGGUUAACCGUAUAGGGGAGCCGCAGGGAAACCGAGUCUUAACUGGGCGUUAAGUUGCAGGGUAUAGACCCGAAACCCGGUGAUCUAGCCAUGGGCAGGUUGAAGGUUGGGUAACACUAACUGGAGGACCGAACCGACUAAUGUUGAAAAAUUAGCGGAUGACUUGUGGCUGGGGGUGAAAGGCCAAUCAAACCGGGAGAUAGCUGGUUCUCCCCGAAAGCUAUUUAGGUAGCGCCUCGUGAAUUCAUCUUCGGGGGUAGAGCACUGUUUCGGCUAGGGGGUCAUCCCGACUUACCAACCCGAUGCAAACUACGAAUACCGAAGAAUGUUAUCACGGGAGACACACGGCGGGUGCUAACGUCCGUCGUGAAGAGGGAAACAACCCAGACCGCCAGCUAAGGUCCCAAAGUCAUGGUUAAGUGGGAAACGAUGUGGGAAGGCACAGACAGCCAGGAUGUUGGCUUAGAAGCAGCCAUCAUUUAAAGAAAGCGUAAUAGCUCACUGGUCGAGUCGGCCUGCGCGGAAGAUGUAACGGGGCUAAACCAUGCACCGAAGCUGCGGCAGCGACACUAUGUGUUGUUGGGUAGGGGAGCGUUCUGUAAGCCUGCGAAGGUGACCUGUGAGGGUUGCUGGAGGUAUCAGAAGUGCGAAUGCUGACAUAAGUAACGAUAAAGCGGGUGAAAAGCCCGCUCGCCGGAAGACCAAGGGUUCCUGUCCAACGUUAAUCGGGGCAGGGUGAGUCGACCCCUAAGGCGAGGCCGAAAGGCGUAGUCGAUGGGAAACAGGUUAAUAUUCCUGUACUUGGUGUUACUGCGAAGGGGGGACGGAGAAGGCUAUGUUAGCCGGGCGACGGUUGUCCCGGUUUAAGCAUGUAGGCUGNNNNNNNNNNNNNNNNNNNNNNNNNNNNNNNNNNNNNNNNNNNNNNNNNNNNNNNNNNNNNNNNNNNNNNNNNNNNNNNNNNNNNNNNNNNNNNNNNNNNUCCAGGCAAAUCCGGAUAAUCAAGGCUGAGGUGUGAUGACGAGGCACUACGGUGCUGAAGUAACAAAUGCCCUGCUUCCAGGAAAAGCCUCUAAGCAUCAGGUAACAUCAAAUCGUACCCCAAACCGACACAGGUGGUCAGGUAGAGAAUACCAAGGCGCUUGAGAGAACUCGGGUGAAGGAACUAGGCAAAAUGGUGCCGUAACUUCGGGAGAAGGCACGCUGGUGUGUAGGUGAAGCCCCUGCGGGUGGAGCUGAGACCAGUCGAAGAUACCAGCUGGCUGCAACUGUUUAUUAAAAACACAGCACUGUGCAAACACGAAAGUGGACGUAUACGGUGUGACGCCUGCCCGGUGCCGGAAGGUUAAUUGAUGGGGUUAUCCGUAAGGAGAAGCUCUUGAUCGAAGCCCCGGUAAACGGCGGCCGUAACUAUAACGGUCCUAAGGUAGCGAAAUUCCUUGUCGGGUAAGUUCCGACCUGCACGAAUGGCGUAAUGAUGGCCAGGCUGUCUCCACCCGAGACUCAGUGAAAUUGAACUCGCUGUGAAGAUGCAGUGUACCCGCGGCAAGACGGAAAGACCCCGUGAACCUUUACUAUAGCUUGACACUGAACAUUGAGCCUUGAUGUGUAGGAUAGGUGGGAGGCUUUGAAGCGUGGACGCCAGUCUGCGUGGAGCCAACCUUGAAAUACCACCCUUUAAUGUUUGAUGUUCUAACGUUGGCCCCUUACCGGGGUUGCGGACAGUGUCUGGUGGGUAGUUUGACUGGGGCGGUCUCCUCCCAAAGCGUAACGGAGGAGCACGAAGGUUAGCUAAUCCUGGUCGGACAUCAGGAGGUUAGUGCAAUGGCAUAAGCUAGCUUGACUGCGAGCGUGACGGCGCGAGCAGGUGCGAAAGCAGGUCAUAGUGAUCCGGUGGUUCUGAAUGGAAGGGCCAUCGCUCAACGGAUAAAAGGUACUCCGGGGAUAACAGGCUGAUACCGCCCAAGAGUUCAUAUCGACGGCGGUGUUUGGCACCUCGAUGUCGGCUCAUCACAUCCUGGGGCUGAAGUAGGUCCCAAGGGUAUGGCUGUUCGCCAUUUAAAGUGGUACGCGAGCUGGGUUUAGAACGUCGUGAGACAGUUCGGUCCCUAUCUGCCGUGGGCGCUGGAGAAUUGAGGGGGGCUGCUCCUAGUACGAGAGGACCGGAGUGGACGCAUCACUGGUGUUCGGGUUGUCAUGCCAAUGGCACUGCCCGGUAGCUAAAUGCGGAAGAGAUAAGUGCUGAAAGCAUCUAAGCACGAAACUUGCCCCGAGAUGAGUUCUCCCUGAGACUUUAAGUCUCCUGAAGGAACGUUGAAGACGACGACGUUGAUAGGCCGGGUGUGUAAGCGCAGCGAUGCGUUGAGCUAACCGGUACUAAUGAACCGUGAGGCUUAACCUUACAACGCCGAAG
rnacentral:rRNA from 1 species